rnacentral:rRNA from 1 species
CAGUCGCCGCGGUAAUACGUAGGGUGCGAGCGUUAAUCGGAAUUACUGGGCGUAAAGCGUGCGCAGGCGGUUUUGUAAGACAGGCGUGAAAUCCCCGGGCUCAACCUGGGAAUGGCGCUUGUGACUGCAAAGCUAGAGUGCGGCAGAGGGGGAUGGAAUUCCGCGUGUAGCAGUGAAAUGCGUAGAUAUGCGGAGGAGCACCGAUGGCGAAGGCAAUCCCCUGGGCCUGCACUGACGCUCAUGCACGAAAGCGUGGGGAGCAAACAGGAUUAGAUACCCGAGUAGUCCCUGUCUCUUAUAC